rnacentral:rRNA from 1 species
UACGUAGGGCGCAAGCGUUGUCCGGAAUUAUUGGGCGUAAAGAGCUCGUAGGCGGUCUGUCACGUCUGCUGUGAAAACCCGGGGCUUAACCCCGGGCUUGCAGUGGAUACGGGCAGACUAGAGGCAGGUAGGGGAGAAUGGAAUUCCCGGUGUAGCGGUGAAAUGCGCAAAUAUCGGGAGGAACACCGGUGGCGAAGGCGGUUCUCUGGGCCUGACCUGACGCUGAGGAGCGAAAGCGUGGGGAGCGAACAGG